ACUCAAAGGAAUAGACGGGGACCCGCACAAGCGGUGGAGCAUGUGGAUUAAUUCGAUACUAACCGAAGAACCUUACCCAGGUUUGACAUCGAAGGAAAGCCGAUGAAAGUCGGCCCUCCCCCAAAAGGGGACCUGAAGACAGAUGUUGCAUGGCUGUCGUCAGCUCGUGCCGUGAGGUGUACGGUUAAGUCCGCCAACGAGCGCAACCCUCGUCCUGUGUUACCAGCGAGAAAGUCGGGAACUCACAGGAGACCGCCGGUGUAAAUCGGAGGAAGGUGGGGAUGACGUCAAGUCAGCAUGGCUCUUACGCCUGGGGCUUCACACAUGCUACAAUGGGCGCAACAGAGGGCAGCAAUACCGCGAGGUGGAGCAAAUCCCAAAAAUACGCCCCCAGUUCAGAUUGCAGUCUGCAACUCGACUGCAUGAAGGCGGAAUCGCUAGUAAACGCAGGUCAGCUAUACUGCGUUGAAUACGUUCCCGGGUCUUGCACACACCGCCCGU
rnacentral:rRNA from 1 species